rnacentral:lncRNA from 1 species
CUUGAGCUUCAGAAGUCUUAUUAAGAAAUUGGUACCUGUACCAGAUAUUUUUAUAUUCUUAAAACUGUUCUUGACCUUUAAUCUAGCAUAUAGUUAAGUCACUUGGAAAUAGUUUGAUACUUUUGAAUCUUGCUUUAAUCUUUGUUAGGUGGCACCAGAGCAGCCCUUAGUCCAGGACUCAUUUUCCCUACUACCAAGGUUCAAGCCUUCUGAGUAUACACACUCUAUUCAAUGUCCCAUGAAUUAUGAUAUUUUUCUUUUCUUUUUAUUUAUACAUGACAGCAGAAUGCAUUACAAUUCUUACUACACAUAUAUAGCAUGAUUUUUCAUAUCUCUGAUUGUAUACAAAGUAUAUUCAUAUCAAUUUUUGUCUUCAUACACAUACUUUGGAUAAUAAUGACCAUCACAUUCCUCCAUCAUUUCUAACCCCAUGCUGCCUUUCUUCCCUUCAAACCCCUCUGCUCUAUCUAAUAGUUAAUAGGAACACAAACUGUUCCUGGCCAUGUGUAAGCUCAAGUGAUUGUUCCCUCAGCUCCUUUUGCAUGUUUAUUUUCCCAGUUUUGGGAAUGAAUCAUGUGCUGAUUAGUACUCCAAUCAUAUGCUGAAGAAUUGAGGAGGCAAAUCUCUGGAGCUUUCUGUCUGUAUAGCUUUAUCCUUCUGUUAUACUUUUCCUAUGAACUCCCAGCUCCACCUCUUUGACCCAUGGAGGCUGCUGGCCCCUGCUUGAUUUCUCUCUCCCUGCCUGUAGUCUGGAAAUUCUCCAGUCAGGAAGCAAGGAUAAUCAUGGGGCUUGCCUCUUGUGUUUCCUUUCUCCAAGAGAUUUCUUCUUUAUGCUGCCUGGUAUCACAUUUUUGUUUGUUUUUAGGUCAAAUCUGCCUCUCCCUAACUUGUAAACACUCACAAAUGUUUAGACUUUCCACUGAAGGCGUUUUAAAGAAAUGGUUCCCAUUUCUUUACUAGUGAUCAUCCAGUCUGCAUAUGCUAGUUUAUCAUGACUCUAAACAUUCUCUAGAUCUACCCAAUUGUUUCUAAUGAUUAUAAAAAGAAUUUGUUUUUAUAAAUGUUACUGAUAUAAUUUUGAUCAAAUUGCAUUUAAAAUUGACAUCAGUUAAUAUUGUAACCCCUACUAAUGCAACUUUCCCUCUGUGUACCAGUGAUCCUGUCAAUGAAGAAAGUAUGGCCCAGUUCAAAAGCUUAUUUAUGUGUCAGACUUUGCAGAUAACUUUUGAUAUUCUAAAGCAGUCUGAAGUUCAGUGAAUCAGAAUUGUGUCUGUAAGAAGAAAGGAUGUUAACCUUCUUUUCCUGCUUUAAUGUUUAUGGAUUGAACACUGAAGUUGUAUUAGCAGUGGUUAUAAGAGCAGAAUCAGACCCCCAAAUCUUUUUUAAAAGUUUUUUUUAGUUGUAGAUGGACAAUGCCUUUAUUUUAUUUAUUUUUAUGUGGUGCUGAGGAUUGAACCCAGUGCCUGAUAUUUGCCAGGUAAGUGCUCUACCACUGAGCUACAACCCCAGCCCCAGAUCCCCAAAUCUUAAGAACAACAGAAAUCUAGCAGCAGAGGUUAGAAUGGAGAUGCAGAGAGU